GCAGUGGCUUUUUUCACCGUGGUUUUUAAAUUCGUACACGAACAAUUUGAGAAAUUUUGACUAUUAUCACUCAAGAGAUCAAUCGUUAACAUGCAAUUGUCCGGUAGUUAUUUUUUAAAGAUGCCUCUAAUCCAUAUAUUAAUUUCAAGAGGAUGAUUACAAUUAUAAUCUUCGUAAAUGUUGUUUUUAUUUUGAAACAACAGGAUUAUGUGUUCUAGAGUUUAUAAGAUGAAAUCGAAGAGUGUUACACCAACUAAUACAGAUUAAAUAAAUUUUUUAUUUAGGUCAAAGGCAAAGGAAACAAGUACCUAAUCAUGGCUCGUUUCAAGACCCAAAUAUAAUGGAUACAAGCGCUCCUCCCCAAAUGUCAAACUAUGGCAAUAUGUGUAACCCAUAUCCGACACCUCCACCACAACAACAACCGCAACAUUACCAACAGCCAAGUGGAAAUUCAUUUUAUAAUCAAGGUAAUAAUGAAAAGAGAAAGGGGAACUAACUAGCUAGGAGUAUUUAACUUUAUAUAGAACCGUAAACAAAAUUAUUUUUAUACUAUUUCAGAAGAGACUUAUAAUAUGAAUGUUCAAGAAGGUAUAUAGAUUAAGAGCAUAUAUUUAUUUGUCGAUCAAUUAAUAAUCAACCUUAUACAAUACUUUGAUUUGAAAUGUUUUAUUUACUGACUUUUUAACAAACUUUUGCUAAGUGAAGGCGUGGUUGGCGGUUGGGCUAUUUUCAACAAAGCCUCUAUCAAACAAACAAAAUAUAAACUAGAAAAUAAAUAGUCUUUUAUCUCCCUUUCAAGAUAUGUCAAUGAUCUAUCCAUCACAACAACAACAGUCGCAACAACAAGUAUUUCCAGGACAGCAAUUCGUAUCAGAUCCAGUAGUUGCUAAUGUUGCUAUGCAAUACGGUUCGCAGUUGGCUGAUCAAGGCAAACAAUAUGUUCAUGGUCAAUUAGAAAAGUACUUUGUUCUUGGAAAACUGCAAUAUUAUUUUGCUGUUGACACUGCAUACGUUCUUAAAAAGCUUGGAUUGUUGAUAUUCCCUUUUGCACAUAAAGACUGGCUUCGUAAGACAAGUCAAAACGAAAAGGGAGAGGAAACUAAAGCACCGCCUCGUUUAGACGUCAAUGCUCCUGAUUUAUAUAUUCCAACGAUGGCAUUCGUUACGUAUAUACUUUUAGCCGGAUUUGCAUUAGGAACAAAAAACAAAUUCACGCCAGAGGAUUUAGGAGUUACAGCUAGUACUGCAGUUGUGUGGUUAUCUAUUGAGAUACUCUUAUUACUAUUUAUAACUUAUUUAUUACACGUCUCUACAAGGCUUAGUUAUCUUGAUUUGUUUUCUUAUUGUGGAUAUAAAUAUUUCGGAAUGUUAGUAGUCAUAAUAUUUGGGCUUUUGUUGGAUUCAACCGGAUAUUACGGUGCAUUGUUAUACACAGGCACUACUUUAGUAUUCUUUUUGGUGAGAGCCUUGAAAUUUGAUAUCUCUGGAAGAGAAAGGAGAAGUUCGUUAUACGUUUUAUUCGUUAUCGCUCUCUCCCAGCCAGUCUUUACUUGGUGGCUUACAAGACAUUUAGUUUAAAAAAUGUAUUGGCUUAUUUAUAUAUGUUUCUUUCCCGUGUAUAAAUAUAAUGAAUAAAGAAAAAGAAAUAUCGAUCCUUUUAAAUAUAAGAAUUUAAGAAAGCGUGGCAAUAAAUAAAUGAUAUUCUUAAUAUAAAGAGGAAAGAAGUCAAGAAACAAUACAAAGUAUCCUAUAGAUGUCGCUUAAUAAACUAUAAAUAUUUUAUUUAUCAUUUUUCUUGUAUAUAGUUUAAUUAUGUUUCCUUAAGAUAUUCAUAGCUAACGAUGUAUUCAUUCAUUUUCAAGCAUUUGUGUGAAAAAUUUGCAUAAUAUACUACAACAUUUACAUUGAAAAAAAAAGAUAAACAAAUAUAAAUUUAUACAUGUAUCAUUUUUUUUGUCGCUGCUGAUAUUUUUCAGUGUUUUUUCUAUUAAAAAAGAUGAAACUAACAAAAAUAAUGAUCAAAAUAAGUACAAAUGUACAAUUUACAAUGUACUUUUUUUUUAUAUGUUAU
rnacentral:misc_RNA from 1 species